UGCCAAUCUCACCGACACUCGCCUCGCACCGGUUCAGUGGCCGUGCGUCCCCUCUACCCGCCGGAUCUCGCAGCCGGCCGGGUGGGGUGGAUCAUCCACGUCGCGCAGGAGAUCCAUCGCCACACCCCCUUUCCUGGUGAGAAAAGGAUUCAGGCCUUGUGCUCAUGUUUUCUUGGUUACUCUAGCAGGUGUUUUCAGUUUAAGACAGGAGUGCACCCAUGUAAUUUGCAGUAGGCUGCAGAGAGAGCGACAUAUACAGCUAACUGCUUCAGAUUUAAGCUACAUAUGAAGGUAGCAUCUGUUCUGCAGUCCAAUAAUGUGAUAGGAUGGAGUUCUUGAUCCAGCAAGCCCACACAAGAACACUAUGUUUCGGUUUCAGGCUUUCAGCAUGAAUACAGAGUACCAGAGUUUGGGUUUAUAUGGCUAAUUGUGCGGCACAUAGUAACAGGUCAGGUUAGUAGCACCAUUGCACAUAGUAACAAGGUCACUAGCUGUUACUAACAUAUGUAUACAUAUGUGUGUGCGCGCGCGCGUGAUUGCCAACUGAACAAAUACAUCGAACAUAUCUGAUCGCUUUGUGUUCGACUACCAUACUUACCUAGUGCCAUUUUCUGCUGCUGCAAAACAAUCUUAACCCUGCUAAGUAUCGUGUAUUAUAUGGUCGCAGUGAAGACUGCUGUCAAACGUGACAUCUCCAGUAGUACAAAUGAUGUUCGACAAGUCAAAUGAGGGUUCUGCUUGAAAGAACAACAGUGUUCUGAUGCAUUUGUUUUUUGUCUGAAUGUAUAGAAGGCCAAUGUUGCACCUUUCAAUUGCAAUGAAUGGUUUCAAAUUGCGAAGAAUCUUGCUACUUCAACUGACAUAAAAAAUACUCUGUUUCCGUAUCCGUGAAAACCGAACAAGGCAGAGAGAGCAAGCGCCCGCACAAGAUCGACAGACGACAUGUGGCGGGGUUCGCUGCUGCUGCUGCUGCUGCUGCUGCUUCUGCUCGCGGCGGCCGCGGCCGGUGAACCGGCGUCGACGCUCAUGGGCCCGUCGCAUGAAGACAGGGGCCACGCGAUGAUCCUGCCGGAGACAGGGCCCCCGGUGCAGCGGUGGGCAACGGGUGUUAGUUUUAACCUUUACUAUUUAUGCAUCUGCAUAUGUAUUCUGGCUUUGCACCUAGGUUAGAUGGUGAUUGAGUGAUUUGCCUUGUGGAUGUACCCGAGUAGGAGUUCUGUUUCACUUUCACCAGAGGUGCAAAGCGUGAGUGACAUCAAUCAGGGAGGUUGGCCUGUGUCUGUGUGGUACGUACUUCCAAGGUUGUAAGCAUAUUUGUUUUAACAAGAGGAAAACGUCAUGUGUGCACACACAACAAACACCUUUUUUUUUCUCCGUUCUUGAUAGAGUUGUGUAAAGUACAGAGCUAUACCUGAG
rnacentral:lncRNA from 1 species